CAGCGACAGGUUCUCCAGUGUCGUCGAAGACCUGGAGCGAGUGAAGGACCCGCCUCCGAAGACUAGGAGUGCCGCCUGAUGAGUACAAGCCCCACAAGUCUCAGGGGCGGG